GAGACAGACAGUGUGAAAAACAGGUAGAGAGACAGAAUGUGAUGCAGAGGAGUGGAGAAGUACAUACACUCUUAGAAAAAAGGGUUCAUGGGGGUGCUAUAUAGAACCAUGGGGGUCUUAGCCAAGGAGAUAGAACCCUUUUGCCUAAAAAGGGUGCUAUUUCAUACACGUGAGGGUUAUUUGAACUUCAACGACCGUUUAUGGAACCUUUCUGAAGACGUUAAUUCUUCACUGGAUUUAACGGUAAGUGACACACAACCCUAAUCCCUUUCAUUUCAAUCAUAAUCAUUACCCGUGUUGUCUGCAAAUCAAAGCCAGAAAUUAUGCCUCUUAAGUAAAAAACAAGGGGCGUUCUUCAUAAACGUCAGUGGGCGUUAACCGGUCAGCUGUUAGCUAGAAUCUAUAAAUUCGUUGUCUCUGAAUGAUUUUAGCAGCAGCUAGCUAUCCUAUCCUGUCACCCUACUGGAUCCAUCAUUAAGAUUAGUUUUCUACUUCCUUGUCAGGCUGACAAUAAAAUCAACUAUCGAUUAUAUGAUUUUGAGCUUGUAUCCACUAUUGUUGUUCAAUGAUAUUCACUGUCCUCCCGGCUCCCGAUAAGUUAAGCUAACUAAAUUUAGCGUGCUAGCUAGCAUGGCGAGUUGCCAUUAACUAGCUAGCUACAAACGUCAGCCAGCAAUGCAAAAUCAGAAUGAUAUGGCAGUAACUACUUCAUUACCAGGCUAUCUAGUUAAAUUACAGGAAACCAGCCAUCAAGUACAUAUAAUUGAGUUGUAUCAUUGUCAACACAAGUUUUUUGUUUUAUUUUUCGUUUUAAAGAACAGGAAAUUGAUGGAGACUACUGGGCCUCACUGAACGGAUGGUUGAAGAACUAUCCCCGUCUAUGAAAUUGCAGGUGAUGUUUGUGAAGGAACUGAACUAGCUCCUAGAACAACAUGAAGUUGGAUUGCCCCUGGACCAUGCUGACAGCAUAGGCAAAAGACUGUCCUGUCUAGACUGUCCUGUGCCAGUGUUGAGAAUGAUGCUUCGACAAAGACCAUGCUCGUCUUCUUUGACCCAACCAUGGCCAACAGUAUUCAGUCUGCCCACCUUCCCCCCAGAAAAAGUACCCAAACCAUAAAAAAUAUACAGAUGUUCUGGGAUCUCAUCACCAGAUUUCCGUUUCUUGGAGAACACAGCUCCUCUGGUAUGUUCUUUCCCAACUGUUAUGCAAAACAUUAUUCCUCAGUUCAAUUUCUAUACUACUUUGAUUUUGUGCCAGCCUCAUAAUUUAUGUCUAUACCCACAGGAGACCCUACUUGAGUGUCUGAGGAACAAAAUAAAAAAAGAAAGGUCACCUUUAGGCAACUUGACGUCCAGGAAAUUAAGAGAAAGUUUGGUGCUGGAGGAAACAGAAUUGUGGACCAUGUGCCUCUGGAGGAACCACCUGGACAUCAGGUGCCAUUUUUUUUAUUCUUGCUUGUCUUUAGCCCAACUGUGUGCCUAUGUCUGUAUGUCUAUCUGCUUGCUAGUCACAGUUGUCAUUGAUUGCCGGUCUUAAUUCUUAAUUUUACACAUUUCUUAUGGCUAAUUUCAGAGAGAAAAUAAGUGCAGAUUGGAAAACGCAGUCCAGAUGCUUUCUGGGAAUUAUCCAACACAAGAGGUUUGCAAUAUUUUUG